rnacentral:rRNA from 1 species
CAGUCGCCACGGUAAUACGAAGGGGGCUAGCGUUGCUCGGAAUGACUGGGCGUAAAGGGCGCGUAGGCGGUUUAUACAGUCAGAUGUGAAAUUCCUGGGCUCAACCUGGGGACUGCAUUUGAUACGUAUGGACUUGAGUGGAGGAGAGGGUCGUGGAAUUUCCAGUGUAGAGGUGAAAUUCGUAGAUAUUGGAAAGAACACCGGUGGCGAAGGCGGCGACCUGGCCUUUAACUGACGCUGAGGCGCGAAAGCGUGGGGAGCAAACAGGAUUAGAUACCCGCGUAGUCCCUGUCUCUUAUAC